GCUGCCCGCCGGUCCCGCGCCGCCGGGCAGGCCGUGGCCCAGCCGCCUUGGUCGUAUGGAAGCGGGACGCCCCCGCCCCCCAAAGCGGGGACAGGGCAGGAGGGGCCUGCGCUGCCGUGCGGCUCCCGCGGAACCGGGAUGUCAGACUGAGCUGCCGCCGCCCCAGUCUUCUUCCUCUGCACAGCUCCUGAGGUGGAAGUACCACAUGAAUGCUCUUUGGCAGUAAAGAUGUGAGAUGAGAAAUUCAUCCGCUGCGCUAGUGCAGGAUCUGGGUCUCAGCGCCAUAGACAAGGUGGUGGGGCAGGAUAAAGGUGCCAGUGCGGGAGCACGGGAUGGCAGCACACAGCCAGCAGCCUGGAGUGGCGCAGGGUCCAGAGUCCCCUGACCUGUGCAGAUUUGUCCAAGAAGAAUGUGUGUAGCCCUCCCAUCGUUUUCCGUGAGCUACCUCACACACUCUGAAAGGUCAGACUCACCGCAAACACACACAGAAAUGACCUGCAUCACAACACAAGCAUUUGCAACGAACACAGCUGAAGUUAAUGGCAGUCCUUGGGGAGACAUAAGCGCAGGAUAUGAAGCAGCGCGGAUGGAAAAGCUUUGGCUGAAUUGGUCAAUCUGCAGCAAAUGCGAGAACAGGACGG